CACCCCAUAAAUCCCUCUCAAAUGUGCCAAUUUUAUCGGCCACAAAGUAUCAAAUUCUGGUGGUCUCCAUCUCUAUCCAGCGUAUCCCAUUCUUUGCCUAAAUCUCUCUCAAUUCAGCACUAUUUCGUGAUUCUCAA
ensembl:ncRNA C48E7.14 ncRNA